rnacentral:RNase_P_RNA from 1 species
CCGGUGGGCCGGGUGGCCGCUCCGAUUCGUCGGAGAGGAAAGUCCGAGCUCCUCCGGGCAGGGUGCUGGGUAACGCCCAGGCGGGGCAACCCGACGGAAAGCGCCACAGAAACAUACCGCUUCGGUUUACCGAAGUAAGGGUGAAAUCGGGAGGCAAGAGCUCCCGGCCGACCGUGGUGACACGGCGGCGGGCAAGCCCCAUCCGGAGCAAGGCCAAAUAGGGGGGCCAAGAGCGCCCGGAUCGCCCCCGGGUUGGCCGCACGACUCCGCCGGCAACGGCGGGGCUAGAGGGAUGGCCACCGCCCGUUCCGCCAUAAGGAAGAAGCCCUACGGGGUGUAAACUGAUGGUGGGCGGGUACAGAACUCGGCUUACAGGCCCACCGGCCCC